UAUCCCCACUGCACCGUGCAGCGUCGUCAGUCUCCGUCGUCUUCGUCGAAGCACUCCGCCGCUCCAGCUGUCCUCGCUUGGCUUGUCACGCCCGGUCGAUGAUCUCUUCUUCAACCCAUCAAAGCAACCGGAACCCCUGGCCAGUCGCCAGAAUUUUGGACCUUAGGCAUUGCAAAGGAUUAAGUUGGGUUCGCAAGCGAACUUAAGUUCGAAACUAAUUUUGGACCAAGCAACGUCUUGAUUGAGGCAUUUGUUUGAGAGAUCGAAUGCAGUUUUGGAACAAGCUAUACUUUGGGCAUGAUUCAAGAUUCAUCUAAGCGAGAAGAAAGAUUAAAUUGCUUGCCACUUAGGCGUAAUUUGAGGUAAGGGUAGAGAUGCAUCAGUGAUGGACACGCGGAAUUCUUGAGCGAGCCACUAGGACUAGUUUUUACGCUUCCACAUCAUGAGAUUUAGAGUUCUUUUCAUGUUUCUCUUAACUUUUAGUUUUGAUGUUUAAAACUUACUUUUAAGCAUCGCUUUUCAGACUUAUUUAUUAUCUUUUAUGAUUUAUGUGUACCCUACUAUUAUUUUAGUAUUUGAAUUUAAUGAAAGUAUUUUGAACUUACCUUAUUUAAUUAGCAUUUAUUUCGCCAUAACCGAGUGUCAUUUUGAGUUCCAUGCAGGCAUGUAUUUAGUAACGGCCUAACUUAAGUCCUAGGGGGUCGGGUCGUUAUAGUUUGUAUUAGAACACAUGUUUUGGGUUCUGUAGACUGACUUACUACGUAAAUCUAGAUAGUCCCUGUGGCCCAGUAACGGAUCCCUCAUCAUCGCCAGGUACGUCCU